GACGAACGCUGGCGGCGUGCCUAACACAUGCAAGUCGAACGGAGAUUUCAGCAAUGAAAUCUUAGUGGCGAACGGGUGAGUAACGCGUAGACAACCUGCCUUUUAGAUGGGGACAACACCGCGAAAGCGGUGCUAAUACCGAAUGUUGUAUUUUAAUCGCAUGAUUGAGAUACUAAAGAUGGCCUCUGUAUAUGCUAUCGCUAACAGAUGGGUUUGCGUCUGAUUAGCUAGUUGGUGAGGUAAUGGCUCACCAAGGCGACGAUCAGUAGCCGGUCUGAGAGGAUGAACGGCCACACUGGGACUGAGACACGGCCCAGACUCCUACGGGAGGCAGCAGUGGGGAAUCUUCCGCAAUGGACGAAAGUCUGACGGAGCAACGCCGCGUGAGUGAAGAAGGUUUUCGGAUCGUAAAACUCGGUUUUCAGGGACGAAUGUGCAGCUUGUAAAUAAUGAGUUGUGAUGACGGUACCUGAGUAGAAAGCCACGGCUAACUACGUGCCAGCCGCCGCCGUAA
rnacentral:rRNA from 1 species